GACGAACGCUGGCGGCAUGCCUAACACAUGCAAGUCGAACGAGAUCUUCGGGUCUAGUGGCGCACGGGUGCGUAACGCGUGGGAAUCUGCCCUUUGGUUCGGAAUAACAGUUGGAAACGACUGCUAAUACCGGAUGAUGACGAAAGUCCAAAGAUUUAUCGCCAGAGGAUGAGCCCGCGUAGGAUUAGCUAGUUGGUGUGGUAAAGGCGCACCAAGGCGACGAUCCUUAGCUGGUCUGAGAGGAUGAUCAGCCACACUGGGACUGAGACACGGCCCAGACGCCUACGGGAGGCAGCAGUGGGGAAUAUUGGACAAUGGGCGAAAGCCUGAUCCAGCAAUGCCGCGUGAGUGAUGAAGGCCUUAGGGUUGUAAAGCUCUUUUACCCGGGAUGAUAUUGACAGUACCGGGAGAAUAAGCUCCGGCUAACUCCGUGCCAGCCGCCGCCGUAA
rnacentral:rRNA from 1 species